rnacentral:lncRNA from 1 species
UGGAGAUCCCGCUGGUGUAGGUGCGGCUCCCGGAGCGGGCAGGAGAACAUGGAGUAAGACAGGAGGCAUGAAGGAAGAAGACCUGCCGCUCACUCGUAAUCCCUCACCCAGAGGUGACCUGUGCAGCUUCUGCCGUUUUCUGCAAACAGCUUUUCUCCUUGCGGCAGCUGAUGCUCAAUGCUCCAGGACCCUACAGAGAAACCUUACUCCCACCACUGAGGAGGCCCCGGAGCCUUCGGCAGCAGCCCCUCCCGGCCCGAGUCCUCAUCCUGACAGCAGCGGGAAGGCCUGGCCCUGGUGGGGAGGCUGCCUGUGCCAUCCUGCUCUGGGCCGGGCUGCCCAGGGCUGCCCCAGGGAGGGUCUGGGUGCUGGAGAGCCGGACCCCGCCCUUCUGAGCCUCAGCAGGGUCCAGAACACCCACAGGGGGUUUGGGAGCCCGAGGCCAGCCCAGCGCCCAGGCGGCCGCAGGGCCAGAGAUGGACCCGACCCCUGCACUCCCUCCUGCCCAGCCUCUGCUCUCUUCGGCCCCAACCAUUUCUGCCUAGAAAACAAAACCUCAAGUAUCUUCUGAGCAGCGGCGUGAGGAUCAGUAAAGCAGUUGCCCUCCCGAGGUAUUGGGGUCCAGACCCUGCCUGCUCCUCACCAACGGCCCUGAGUGAUGGGACAUCCCUCCGAGUCCCGGCUCCCGCUCCUGGAGCAGGUGAUCCCCUGUGAGCUCUGUGUCCCCCGCACGCUCCCUCGCUGGCCAGCCCGCCCGGCAGUGUCUCAGUGUCGGGUGCCUGAGAGCGUGGGCCACUGGUGCACGGGACAGACGGCUCCAUGGCGGGUGAGGCCCAGACUCCGCUCUGCACCCGCAGGCCUCUCCGGGCCCGCAGUGUGGGGAAUCGUCCCCUUGAGGGGCGCAUGCGGGUCCCCUGCACAGCCCAGCCUGCCACAGGGGUGCUCUAGUUUUCUUUACAAAAUAUCAGAAAAAUGUUCCUCUGGAAGUGGUUGUUAUUCUCUCCCCUUCUGUGUUUGCUCCAGGCAGUGUCUGCAGACUCCCGCAGGAAUACUCACUGCUGUUGGCAGGGCCAAAGCUCAGGGCAGCCGUGGUCCCUGUGCUCCUGGGAACAGCAUCAGAACGAGCGGUUCUCGCGGAUCCUCAGGCAGCCGGCGCCCAGGCCCAGCAGGAGAGGGGACAAGGCUGCCCAGACCCUGGGAGGGGCUCUGA